AACCUGCAGGACCCUGCUCCAGGACUGCCCGGGGAGGCUGAGCGAGAAGGCUGCCCUGAGAGCAGCGGCUGCCCAGCAGCUGAUAGGAUACAUGAUGGACAAUUGAAGCCAGAGAAGAGCAGGAGGCUUGGGCCGCCCGCCCUGCUGCCCUGGGCUCUCCCAACACGUGACCCUGGAUGUCGGAAAACUCCCCACCUCCCUUUAACAAGCGACACUGCCGAGGACAAACUGCAGGAGUCAGCUCUUGCUUAGGGAGGGGGAGUUUGAGCUCUUUACAUUGUCUUUGUAGUGAAGAGAGUUCCUGACCAGCAAGGCCACUAAUCAUAGCAAGAGCCAAGAGGUUAUUUAAGAGGCUGUUGGAGAGAGAUCUGUCGCAGACCAGUUCUCUUCUAGUAAUAGAGCCCCGAGCAUCUUUGGACUUAUGUGGAGAAAGCGCUUCAUCAGCAACAGUUCCAACGAGGGCCCUUUGACUCAACCGUUGAUGGAGACGCAGGAACCCGACCCCGAAACCUAAACCCUCGUGAGUUACCCAGAUGAGUGUGACAGCCUCUCAUUGUCCACCCCGCUAGAGGUGGAAGGCGAUCAUGGAUUGGAGGAGUCACCGGCAGACAAGCAGCUUGAUGAUGCCUUUCUAGAGGCCUUUGAGAACGGUAGCCCUGUGUGAGGAAAUAUAUCAUGCAUCAGCUGUUUUUGCUCAUGUCUGAGACACCGAUCUCAAGAGGAAAAUCUGGAAAAGGACAAAAUGGAAGAAUGAACCAGCUCUGACUGCCUUAUGGUAGGGGUCAUGGCGUCCAUUUUUAUAGG